UACGGAGGGAGCUAGCGUUGUUCGGAUAUACUGGGCGUAAAGCGCACGUAGGCGGCGCAGCAAGUCAGGGGUGUAAUCCCGGAGCUCAACUCCGGAACUGCCUUUGAAACUGCAGUGCUAGAAUCCUGGAGAGGCGAGUGGAAUUCCGAGUGUAGAGGUGAAAUUCGUAGAUAUUCGGAAGAACACCAGUGGCGAAGGCGACUCGCUGGACAGGUAUUGACGCUGAGGUGCGAAAGCGUGGGGAGCAAACAGG
rnacentral:rRNA from 1 species